UGGACCUAAGGAUAAUACUAAGGAAGCAACGUAUAAAGUACUGAAGAAACUUAUUUCGAAUAUAUUGGCAUCCGAAUUUACUUUGAAAGGUGGUACCAAAAAAUGUUUUGACAAGCUGGCGUUGUAUGAAGUUGUUCAAGAUUGUUUUAAUUUUUUCAAAAUGUGAAUAUUAAUUAAAGAAAGAAGUGGAAAAUUUGACUUGAGAUGGCUACCAGAAAGAUAAUUUGAAAGAUAACUUGUCAUCCGCAUAUAUUCCAGGAGGGGAAUCAAAAUUGAUUAAAUAAGUUUAAAAG